rnacentral:rRNA from 1 species
UUUUAUGGAGAGUUUGAUCCUGGCUCAGGAUGAACGCUGGCGGCGUGCCUAAUACAUGCAAGUCGAGCGAACGGACGAGAAGCUUGCUUCUCUGAUGUUAGCGGCGGACGGGUGAGUAACACGUGGAUAACCUACCUAUAAGACUGGGAUAACUUCGGGAAACCGGAGCUAAUACCGGAUAAUAUUUUGAACCGCAUGGUUCAAAAGUGAAAGACGGUCUUGCUGUCACUUAUAGAUGGAUCCGCGCUGCAUUAGCUAGUUGGUAAGGUAACGGCUUACCAAGGCAACGAUGCAUAGCCGACCUGAGAGGGUGAUCGGCCACACUGGAACUGAGACACGGUCCAGACUCCUACGGGAGGCAGCAGUAGGGAAUCUUCCGCAAUGGGCGAAAGCCUGACGGAGCAACGCCGCGUGAGUGAUGAAGGUCUUCGGAUCGUAAAACUCUGUUAUUAGGGAAGAACAUAUGUGUAAGUAACUGUGCACAUCUUGACGGUACCUAAUCAGAAAGCCACGGCUAACUACGUGCCAGCAGCCGCGGUAAUACGUAGGUGGCAAGCGUUAUCCGGAAUUAUUGGGCGUAAAGCGCGCGUAGGCGGUUUUUUAAGUCUGAUGUGAAAGCCCACGGCUCAACCGUGGAGGGUCAUUGGAAACUGGAAAACUUGAGUGCAGAAGAGGAAAGUGGAAUUCCAUGUGUAGCGGUGAAAUGCGCAGAGAUAUGGAGGAACACCAGUGGCGAAGGCGACUUUCUGGUCUGUAACUGACGCUGAUGUGCGAAAGCGUGGGGAUCAAACAGGAUUAGAUACCCUGGUAGUCCACGCCGUAAACGAUGAGUGCUAAGUGUUAGGGGGUUUCCGCCCCUUAGUGCUGCAGCUAACGCAUUAAGCACUCCGCCUGGGGAGUACGACCGCAAGGUUGAAACUCAAAGGAAUUGACGGGGACCCGCACAAGCGGUGGAGCAUGUGGUUUAAUUCGAAGCAACGCGAAGAACCUUACCAAAUCUUGACAUCCUUUGACAACUCUAGAGAUAGAGCCUUCCCCUUCGGGGGACAAAGUGACAGGUGGUGCAUGGUUGUCGUCAGCUCGUGUCGUGAGAUGUUGGGUUAAGGCCCGCAACG